ensembl:misc_RNA Y_RNA Y RNA
GGCUGGUCCAAAGGUAGUGAGUUAUCUCAAUUGAUUGUUCAGUCAGUUACAGAUUGAACUCCUUGUUCUGCUCUUUAUCUACUUCUCACUACUGCACUUGACUAGUCUUUC